rnacentral:ncRNA from 2 species
AGGUAGGCUGCGGGGGAUAGUUCACAGACCACGUUCGUGGUGGGGGAAGCCGGUCGAAUUCCGGCGCUGACCCGCAACCGUAGGCCGCCUCGGGGUGGUGAGCCGGAGCACCUGCUGCGCACGUCCUGACACA